UUUUGAAAACCCUGAAAAUACUAUCUAAAAAAGUUCAGCUGCUGUGUACUUAGAAGCUGAUUCCUUUCCUUUGAUUUCUAUUUGUUGGUUUUUGGUUGCUGUUGUUCAAGGUACUGAUUUCACCUCUUAAAUAUACUUCCUGUUUUUGAAGUGAUGUAAUAGGGGAAUGAAAUAGCAUGAUCUCCUUUUGUUUGGUUCACUAAUGCUUGUAAUUCUUUCUUUAAGAGAUGUUUAAGUUUGAAGAUUUUCUGUUACCUUAUACUGAAUUUGAACCUUGGGUUGCUGAAAUAAUCUUUCUUCUUUCUUUCUGCCUACUUUACUAUUUAAUUUGCAAUGUACCAGUAAAUGAAAUUCCACAAGUACUGAAACCUUUAUUUUGUUUUUCUGCUGUUUUGUAUUAGAGUGGCAAUAAGGCAACUUCAAGGCCGGAAUUGAAUGUUGGCUUGUGAGAAACAACCCUACAGCUAAUUUCUUGCAAGUUGAAUAUGGUCUGAAGGGUUUUGUAAUAGCUGAAAGGCUCAGAAUUAGGAAAAAAUGUCAUUUUAUCUUAUCUUAAAAUUAUUCUUUCUUUAGACAUAUAGUUGUUUUUAGAAGCACAUUGUAAAUUUGUGGACUAUCAAGUAGUAAAUGGAUUGUUUUAAUUUCAAAUUUGAUUAUAUUUGAUUGUUAGUUUGGUUUAUGGAAGUAUGAUUUCUUUGCAUAGCCUAUCAUCGC
rnacentral:lncRNA from 1 species